rnacentral:rRNA from 1 species
AGUGAACGCUGGCGGUAGGCCUAACACAUGCAAGUCGAACGGCAGCACAGUAAGAGCUUGCUCUUACGGGUGGCGCGUGGCGGACGGGUGAGGAAUACAUCGGAAUCUACUUUUUCGUGGGGGAUAACGUAGGGAAACUUACGCUAAUACCGCAUACGACCUACGGGUGAAAGUAGGGGAUCUUCGGACCUUGCGCGAUUGAAUGAGCCGAUGUCGGAUUAGCUAGUUGGCGGGGUAAAGGCCCACCAAGGCGACGAUCCGUAGCUGGUCUGAGAGGAUGAUCAGCCACACUGGAACUGAGACACGGUCCAGACUCCUACGGGAGGCAGCAGUGGGGAAUAUUGGACAAUGGGCGCAAGCCUGAUCCAGCCAUACCGCGUGGGUGAAGAAGGCCUUCGGGUAGUAAAGCCCUUUUGUUGGGAAAGAAAAGCAGCAGGUUAAUACCCCGCUGUUCUGACGGUACCCAAAGAAUAAGCACCGGCUAACUUCGUG